rnacentral:rRNA from 1 species
GGGGCUACACACGUGCUACAAUGGCGUAUACAAAGAGAAGCGACCUCGCGAGAGCAAGCGGACCUCAUAAAGUACGUCGUAGUCCGGAUUGGAGUCUGCAACUCGACUCCAUGAAGUCGGAAUCGCUAGUAAUCGUAGAUCAGAAUGCUACGGUGAAUACGUUCCCGGGCCUUGUACACACCGCCCGUCACACCAUGGGAGUGGGUUGCAAAAGAAGUAGGUAGCUUAACCUUCGGGAGGGCGCUUACCACUUUGUGAUUCAUGACUGGGGUGAAGUCGUAACAAGGUAACCGUAGGGGAACCUGCGGUUGGAUCACCUCC